AUAUUUACAUAUAUUGUAUGUUGCAUAAAAGUUAUUAAAAAUAUUUAAACUGCUCAACACUGAUGAUCAGUCGUACAAGAAUUAAUUCGUUAUUGAAUUUGCUUCUCUUGGAUCUUGUUUUAAAUAUAUGUACAUAUGUUACACAAAUAGUGGUCUUUCUGUAUCAUUUGAACAAUAGAAAUAUCAAAGGAACUGUCUACUGUCUCUCAUAGGCUUAUUCUCUUUUGUACUUUUAUACUUCAAUCAAUUGUAUUCGAAAAAAUGAGAAAGUAGCGAAUUCUGUCUAUCGACAUAUAAUUGUAACAAUUUUCAAACCCGUUCAAUUGACAUAUUGCGCGAAACAUAAGCAGGCAUUCGUUCCACCAAAGCCAAAAGCGUUUUUCAAAGCCGUUCGACGCGUCGUCGUCGUCGUCCACUUUGCCUUCGUAUGCGGUGCAAAGUUCAAGCGCGUCUCCAUGUCCAGGUUGUGCAGAUUCAAGGUGGGCGGUAUUACGCCUUCUUUAAUCGCUAAAAUCGUGAAGGCGGCCUCCAGGUUACCAGCGGCACCCAGCAAGUGACCGUGCGCACCCUUGGUGCUCGUCACCGUGACGUUUCUGCUGUGUUCACCCAUUAGCGACUCGAUCGCCUUCAACUCGAUCGUGUCGCCCAACGGCGUGGACGUGGCGUGAGCGUUUACGAACGUCACCUCCGAGCUCUCAAUGCCGGCGUCCUUCACCGUCCGGUCCAUCGCCAGGAGCGCGCCGAUACCAUCCUCGCUCGGCGCCGUUAUGUGAGACGCGUCGCCGGACAAACCAUAGCCCAACACCUCCGCGUAGAUGGGUACACCUCGGGCGAGCGCGUGAUUCAGCUCCUCCAGGACUAGGAUCGCGGCGCCCUCGCCCAUUACGAAACCGUCCCGGUCCCGAUCGAAUGGUCGCGACGCUUCCUCGGGCGCGUCGUUCUUCGACGUGCUCAGCGCACGUAGACGGCAGAAGGCGGCUAUCGCCAACGGGCUGACGCACGCUUCCGCGCCUCCGCACACCAUCACGCUCGUCUCGCCGCCGCGGAUGAAGCGAAACGCGUCUCCUGCGGAAGAGAGUGACCUAUGGCAUGUGCUCCUGUCGCGCACGCAGUUGACACAGAAUGAUUUGGCCCACGAAAGCCGUACUUGAUACUAAUCUGACCAGCUGCCAUAUUGGGCAAUAUUCUUGGGACGAAGAACGGACUGAUCUUGCUGUAUCCUUUCUUCAAAGCUUCGUACGUCAUGCAGACGUCUACCAGAUCUAUCAUGCCGAUUCCUACUGAGACUCCAGUGUCACGCUUAUCAUUCUCAUUGUUUGGUGUCCACUUCGCAUCCAAGAGUGCCUCUUUUGUGGCUAUCAGGGCGUAUGCAGUAGCAGGACACAUUGUACGUAAUUCAGUUUUAGUAAAAUGAGAGUCAAUGUUGAGUUCGUGAGGAGCAUUUCCUUUUGGCACUAACGCAGCUAUAAAAUAUGAAUUAAUUACAAUUUUGAGUAACUAAUUAUAACAGUAUUUGGAGUUGAUAAAUUUUGGUGUUAAAGUUGAUA